rnacentral:rRNA from 1 species
UACGGAGGGUGCAAGCGUUAAUCGGAAUUACUGGGCGUAAGGCGUGCGCAGGCGGUUUGUUAAGUCCGCUGUGAAAUCCCCGAGCUCAACUUGGGAAUUGCAGUGGAUACUGGCAAGCUGGAGUAUGGUAGAGGAAGGUGGAAUUCCCGGUGUAGCAGUGAAAUGCGUAGAGAUCGGGAGGAACACCAGUGGCGAAGGCGGCCUUCUGGACCAAUACUGACGCUCAUGCACGAAAGCGUGGGGAGCAAACAGG